GGGUCUCCCUUUCCUCCCUCACCAAUCCAUGUGCGUCCCUCUCGAAGCUGCAUGCUAAGUUGAAAAGGAUGACUUUCCCUGAAUAGAGGAGGACCCCGGUCUUGCGUCAAGGGUAUACGAGUAGCUGCACUCCCCUGCUAGAACCUCCAAACAAGCUCAAAGUCCAAAUUUUUUAAUUGACUGGUAUUAUUAAUCAUUCUCACUCUGUCUUACAGUGGAAAAUUGUACCAGUUAUUU
rnacentral:sRNA from 1 species